CAAUAGCGUAUAUUAAAGUUGUUGCAGUUAAAAAGCUCGUAGUUGGAUUUCUGAAUGGAUGCCGAUGCCCGCCUGUUGGCGUGUGCAAAGGUGCCCGUUCAUCCUUCUGUUAAGGUUUCUUAGUAUUCAUUUACUGGUUUCCGGCUCAGAUAUUUUACCUUGAAUAAAUUAGAGUGUUUCAGGCAAGCUUGGUCUUGAAUACAUUAGCAUGGAAUAAUAGAAUAGGACUCUAGAUCCUUUGUUGGUUUCUGGAUUUGGAGUAAUGAUUAAUAGGGAUAGUUGGGGGCAUUAGUAUUUAAUUGUCAGAGGUGAAAUUCUUGGAUUUAUUAAAGACUAACUUAUGCGAAAGCAUUUGCCAAGGAUGUUUUCAUUAA
rnacentral:rRNA from 1 species